rfam:Ictidomys tridecemlineatus contig027066, whole genome shotgun sequence.
GGGAUUGUGGCUCAGUGGUAGAGCGCUUGCCUAGCACACAUGAGGCACUGGGUUCGAACCUCAGCACACAUA